UGGCGGACGGGUGAGUAACACGUGAGAAUUCGCCUUUAGGCGGGGAAUAACUAUGGGAAACCAUAGCUAAUGCCCCAUAUGCUCGUAAGAGUGAAAGGAGCAAUCCACCCAAAGAGAAGCUCGCGGCUGAUUAGCUAGUUGGUGGGGUAAAGGCCUACCAAGGCGACGAUCCUUAGCUGGUCUGAGAGGAUGAUCAGCCACACUGGGACUGAGACACGGCCCAGACUCCUACGGGAGGCAGCAGUGGGGAAUAUUGGACAAUGGGCGAAAGCCUGAUCCAGCAAUGCCGCGUGAGUGAUGAAGGCCUUAGGGUUGUAAAGCUCUUUUACCCGGGAUGAUAAUGACAGUACCGGGAGAAUAAGCCCCGGCUAACUCCGUGCCAGCAGCCGCGGUAAUACGGAGGGGGCUAGCGUUGUUCGGAAUUACUGGGCGUAAAGCGCGCGUAGGCGGCUUUGUAAGUUAGAGGUGAAAGCCCGGAGCUCAACUUCGGAAUUGCCUUUAAGAC
rnacentral:rRNA from 1 species